CAUCUCCUUAAUCGGAGAGUUCCCUUCGGGGACAUUGGUGACAGGUGGUGCAUGGUUGUCGUCAGCUCGUGUCGUGAGAUGUUGGGUUAAGUCCCGCAACGAGCGCAACCCUUGUCUUUAGUUGCCAUCAUUAAGUUGGGCACUCUAGAGAGACUGCCAGGGAUAACCUGGAGGAAGGUGGGGAUGACGUCAAAUCAUCAUGCCCCUUAUGCUUAGGGCUACACACGUGCUACAAUGGGUAGUACAGAGGGUUGCCAAGCCGUAAGGUGGAGCUAAUCCCUUAAAGCUACUCUCAGUUCGGAUUGUAGGCUGAAACUCGCCUACAUGAAGCUGGAGUUACUAGUAAUCGCAGAUCAGAAUGCUGCGGUGAAUGCGUUCCCGGGUCUUGUACACACCGCCCGUCACACCACGGGAGUUGGAGACGCCCGAAGCCGAUUAUCUAACCUUUUGGAAGAAGUCGUCGAAGGUGGAAUCAAUCACUGGGGUGAAGUCGUAACAAGGUAGCCGUAUCGGAAGGUGCGGCUGGAUCACCUCCUUUCUAAGGA
rnacentral:rRNA from 1 species